UUUCUUAUCUUUUAAUUAUUAUUUAUUUCCUACAAAAGACAUGUAUCCAUUCUGUAGAUCUCGAUUUUUUUUUAUGUGUCAGUCUGAAAUAAUCACAAGUUCUAAUGGCUUUAUCUCUCUCAUGUUAAGGUGUGAAGAUGUGAGGACUUGACGAUCAGCCUGACCUAUGUGGGCUCGCUCCGAUGCACCUCAUGAGUCGUCUUCUCUGUGCUGAAGCUCUGAGGUGUGAAGAUGUGAGGACUUGACGAUCAGCCUGACCUAUGUGGGCUCGCUCCGAUGCACCUCAUGAGUCGCCUUCUCUGUGCUGAAGCUCUGAGGUGUGAAGAUGUGAGGACUUGACGAUCAGCCUGACCUAUGUGGGCUCGCUCCGAUGCACCUCAUGAGUCGCCUUCUCUGUGCUGAAGCUCUGAGGUGUGAAGAUGUGAGGACUUGACGAUCAGCCUGACCUAUGUGGGCUCGCUCCGAUGCACCUCAUGAGUCGUCUUCUCUGUGCUGAAGCUCUGAGGUGUGAAGAUGUGAGGACUUGACGAUCAGCCUGACCUAUGUGGGCUCGCUCCGAUGCACCUCAUGAGUCGCCUUCUCUGUGCUGAAGCUCUGAGGUGUGAAGAUGUGAGGACUUGACGAUCAGCCUGACCUAUGUGGGCUCGCUCCGAUGCACCUCAUGAGUCGUCUUCUCUGUGCUGAAGCUCUGAGGUGUGAAGAUGUGAGGACUUGACGAUCAGCCUGACCUAUGUGGGCUCGCUCCGAUGCACCUCAUGAGUCGUCUUCUCUGUGCUGAAGCUCUGAGGUGUGAAGAUGUGAGGACUUGACGAUCAGCCUGACCUAUGUGGGCUCGCUCCGAUGCACCUCAUGAGUCGUCUUCUCUGUGCUGAAGCUCUGAGGUGUGAAGAUGUGAGGACUUGACGAUCAGCCUGACCUAUGUGGGCUCGCUCCGAUGCACCUCAUGAGUCGCCUUCUCUGUGCUGAAGCUCUGAGGUGUGAAGAUGUGAGGACUUGACGAUCAGCCUGACCUAUGUGGGCUCGCUCCGAUGCACCUCAUGAGUCGCCUUCUCUGUGCUGAAGCUCUGAGGUGUGAAGAUGUGAGGACUUGACGAUCAGCCUGACCUAUGUGGGCUCGCUCCGAUGCACCUCAUGAGUCGCCUUCUCUGUGCUGAAGCUCUGAGGUGUGAAGAUGUGAGGACUUGACGAUCAGCCUGACCUAUGUGGGCUCGCUCCGAUGCACCUCAUGAGUCGCCUUCUCUGUGCUGAAGCUCUGAGGUGUGAAGAUGUGAGGACUUGACGAUCAGCCUGACCUAUGUGGGCUCGCUCCGAUGCACCUCAUGAGUCGUCUUCUCUGUGCUGAAGCUCUGAGGUGUGAAGAUGUGAGGACUUGACGAUCAGCCUGACCUAUGUGGGCUCGCUCCGAUGCACCUCAUGAGUCGUCUUCUCUGUGCUGAAGCUCUGAGGUGUGAAGAUGUGAGGACUUGACGAUCAGCCUGACCUAUGUGGGCUCGCUCCGAUGCACCUCAUGAGUCGCCUUCUCUGUGCUGAAGCUCUGAGG